UUUUAUGGAGAGUUUGAUCCUGGCUCAGGAUGAACGCUGGCGGCGUGCCUAAUACAUGCAAGUCGAGCGAACGGACGAGAAGCUUGCUUCUCUGAUGUUAGCGGCGGACGGGUGAGUAACACGUGGAUAACCUACCUAUAAGACUGGGAUAACUUCGGGAAACCGGAGCUAAUACCGGAUAAUAUUUUGAACCGCAUGGUUCAAAAGUGAAAGACGGUCUUACUGUCACUUAUAGAUGGAUCCGCGCUGCAUUAGCUAGUUGGUAAGGUAACGGCUUACCAAGGCAACGAUGCAUAGCCGACCUGAGAGGGUGAUCGGCCACACUGGAACUGAGACACGGUCCAGACUCCUACGGGAGGCAGCAGUAGGGAAUCUUCCGCAAUGGGCGAAAGCCUGACGGAGCAACGCCGCGUGAGUGAUGAAGGUCUUCGGAUCGUAAAACUCUGUUAUUAGGGAAGAACAUAUGUGUAAGUAACUGUGCACAUCUUGACGGUACCUAAUCAGAAAGCCACGGCUAACUACGUGCCAGCAGCCGCGGUAAUACGUAGGUGGCAAGCGUUAUCCGGAAUUAUUGGGCGUAAAGCGCGCGUAGGCGGUUUUUUAAGUCUGAUGUGAAAGCCCACGGCUCAACCGUGGAGGGUCAUUGGAAACUGGAAAACUUGAGUGCAGAAGAGGAAAGUGGAAUUCCAUGUGUAGCGGUGAAAUGCGCAGAGAUAUGGAGGAACACCAGUGGCGAAGGCGACUUUCUGGUCUGUAACUGACGCUGAUGUGCGAAAGCGUGGGGAUCAAACAGGAUUAGAUACCCUGGUAGUCCACGCCGUAAACGAUGAGUGCUAAGUGUUAGGGGGUUUCCGCCCCUUAGUGCUGCAGCUAACGCAUUAAGCACUCCGCCUGGGGAGUACGACCGCAAGGUUGAAACUCAAAGGAAUUGACGGGGACCCGCACAAGCGGUGGAGCAUGUGGUUUAAUUCGAAGCAACGCGAAGAACCUUACCAAAUCUUGACAUCCUUUGACAACUCUAGAGAUAGAGCUUUCCCCUUCGGGGGACAAAGUGACAGGUGGUGCAUGGUUGUCGUCAGCUCGUGUCGUGAGAUGUUGGGUUAAGUCCCGCAACGAGCGCAACCCUUAAGCUUAGUUGCCAUCAUUAAGUUGGGCACUCUAAGUUGACUGCCGGUGACAAACCGGAGGAAGGUGGGGAUGACGUCAAAUCAUCAUGCCCCUUAUGAUUUGGGCUACACACGUGCUACAAUGGACAAUACAAAGGGCAGCGAAACCGCGAGGUCAAGCAAAUCCCAUAAAGUUGUUCUCAGUUCGGAUUGUAGUCUGCAACUCGACUACAUGAAGCUGGAAUCGCUAGUAAUCGUAGAUCAGCAUGCUACGGUGAAUACGUUCCCGGGUCUUGUACACACCGCCCGUCACACCACGAGAGUUUGUAACACCCGAAGCCGGUGGAGUAACCUUUUAGGAGCUAGCCGUCGAAGGUGGGACAAAUGAUUGGGGUGAAGUCGUAACAAGGUAGCCGUAUCGGAAGGUGCGGCUGGAUCACCUCCUUUCUAA
rnacentral:rRNA from 1 species